ACGCACGCUGGCGGCGUGCUUCACACCUGCAAGUCGAACGGAAAGGCCCUGCUUGCAGGGUGCUCGAGUGGCGAACGGGUGAGUAACACGUGGGCGAUCUGCCCCUUACUUUGGGAUAAGCCUGGGAAACUGGGUCUAAUACUGGAUAGGACCAUGCUGUAGGUGGUGUGGUGGAAAGAUUAGUUUCGGUAAGGGAUGAGCUCGCGGCCUAUCAGCUUGUUGGUGGGGUAAUGGCCUACCAAGGCGUCGACGGGUAGCCGGCCUGAGAGGGUGGACGGCCACAUUGGGACUGAGAUACGGCCCAGACUCCUACGGGAGGCAGCAGUGGGGAAUAUUGCACAAUGGGCGCAAGCCUGAUGCAGCGACGCCGCGUGGGGGAUGACGGCCUUCGGGUUGUAAACUCCUUUCAGCCAUGACGAAGCCCUUGUGGUGACGGUAGUGGUAGAAGAAGCACCGGCUAACUACGUG
rnacentral:rRNA from 1 species